UGAAGAAGGAGGAUCACAAGGUCAAGGCAAACUUGGCAAUUUAAUGAGACCAUAUCUCAAAAUAAAAAUAGCUGGGAAUUGAGCUCACUGUUAAAGCAUCCCUGGGUUCAAUCUUCAGAUGACCCCCACACGUACACUCAUAUACACAAAUUAAAAUUUCAUGUUUAGGUUUGGUUCCCAUCCCAAACACAUCAGGUGUAUGUUAUUAUUCCAAAAUCUGAAACAAUCCCCCAUAUUUUUAAUUCUAAGAAUUUCAGAUAAGCAUCAGAAUAGCCAAGCAUGUCUAUUCAGGGUACUCGACCUGGACACCUUUCAGUCACUCAUCAAGACAGUAAAAAUAAUCCUGAAAACCAGAAACUGAUCCCUCACACCACACAACACGGUGAUGCCCUUUGAAUUCAUGUUCCAUCAUGGACUAGGAAAGUUGUUCAAGAUCUGGACAGACUUUUAUCUACUAGAAUCCAGCAUGGUUUGUAUGAGUGUUUGUUGGAGGACAAGUCACAUUGGACGACACAGUGACCUUUUCCACAUGCCUCCUGGUCUAUGUGCAGUCUGGAAGCAAGAGGACUCUCCUGUAGCUUCCAAAGUGAUUACUCAGUUGCAGAAAGACAAAGUGAACCAGGCAUCCUGGAGCAUGCCUAUAAUCCUGGAAGCUGAGGCAGGAGGAUCACAAGUUCAAAACCAGCCUCAGCAACUUAGCAAGGCCCUAAGCAACUUGGUGAGACCCUGUCUCUCAAUAAAAUAUUAAAAAGGAAUGGAAAUAUGGCUCAGUGAACAAGUGCCCAUGGGUUCAAUCCCUGAUACAAAAAAAAAAAAAAAAGAGAGAGAGAGAGAGAGACAAAGAAGAGAGCAGGCUUAGCAGAGGUAAAUGCUGGUGUGCCUGGAAAGGUCAAGCCAGGCUGGAAGUACACAGCCUGGACCUGGAAGCAGACAUGUGUGGCUCCAGGAGCAGACUUGAUCUCCUUUCUAAUCAGGAAUAACCUACCUCCCUAGGGUGGAACACUGAGCCUGAUUGACCUAAAAAGUACUUGGAGUGGAAGGUUGUGGGACAAACAUUUAUUGAGAGCCCACAGGCAUUUGUUAGACAUCAUUUGCAUGGAAAAGUUCAACAUAUUCACAAUCCACAAUCAAAUAUUCCCAAUAUUUAGAGAGACCUCUAUUUAUAGGAAACUUGAAGCAAGUCUCUAAUA
rnacentral:lncRNA from 1 species